CAUAAAAAAUUAAAAAUGGCACAUAAGCGCGAUUAUCUAUUUUUCGUUUUUUUAUAAGGCGUCACGUGCUCUACAUGUGACGUCGCCGGCGCCACUGCCCGGCGGGAGACGGGAAGACGAAACAAUACAAUGAAAUGCGUGUUAGAAGCCUCGUAUCACUAUUAUCUCCUCAGUCUCUGCGAGAUUAAUGAAAAAGAAGGAAAAUUCAGAAGCCCCAAUUGGUUUCUUCGAUAGGAGAAUCCGAGAAUGGAAGGAAAUCACGCCCAUAACUUGAGAAUAAAAAAGAAAUUCACACUUUACAAGCUAUAGGUAAGUAUUUCUCAUAAUUUAGAGAUAUCUUUAUUUUUUUGAAUUAUUUUUAGCCGGAUCCCCGCACCUGUGUUGGUUCUAGGAUCCGUAUCCCGGAAUCUUAAAAUUUACAUCUCAAAUGAUCUGCACCCGUGUCAGAGCAACUUAUGUGAGGAGUAUAUCCCAACUACGUAUAAAAUUUUGAGAAUGUAGAGUACAUCCUUGUACAAAUGCUCUUUUGUGUUUCUGACUUGAGAUAUGGGAAGCCCAUGUUACUGGAUGGAAUAGAAGCCAGCUGCACUGCUAGGUCAAUGUUAUCAAGUUGUUAAUGUACCAUCAGAAAGCAGGAUACUGGUAAGUGACAUCUUCCAUCAUAUUUGGAACAAAGCCUGUUUGUCUGGAUCCCCAAUCGGUAUGUUUCCUUGUCACCUGUGGGUUUGAAUAUCUUCAUAUUCUUGCAUAGCGCAGAAGUGAAUUGGAUACCUCUUUGAAAUUAUUCAUUGAAAUUGAUAAAGCAUAUUUUUACUGGCAGGAGACUCCUGCAAAUAAAAGCAAUUCAUGUGCACUUCAUUAGCAGCUUAAACAAAUAUUUGGCUGUUAUGAAAUCAAAUUGCCUGUAUUGCCUGUUGAUGCAACGUAAUUACCAUUGAUUACUGAAACAUGAGACUAGCAGGUCUGCUUUUGCCCCCAAAUAGGAGUCUUUACUUAGCGUAGAAAAUGACGAAUAGUGUUCCUUGUUGAAGAUAAGUGAGUUCCCAAAGUGAGGUGGAAAGUUAUUUUGUUCUUAAUAGUUCUAGAUGUAUACUAAAUUGUGCCUAGUAACUUAGCCGAUCUGUGACCUAAUUCAGAAAUAUUUAAUUUCAUUUAUGGAGGGAUUAGAAUGGGGACUAGGAAUACCAUGUAACGGAACCCAUUCCUUAUUUUAUGUCAUUUAAUCAGUAAAUUUGAACAUUUGGUCUCUCCUAUACCAAGUGAUGCAGUGCCAGUGUCAUAUAAAACCUUCUCUUCUUUGAUAGAUAAUAUUGUCAGCUUUAGAGAACUUUGUCCAGAAGUUCAAUGAUAAUUUGAGUUGCUCUAGUCAUUGUUAAUAUAAUAUUAUCACCUUCUCCAGGGUUUUCUGGUUCAUCAUCGCCUGUAUAUAGUAAUUAAAAAACUCCCCCCUCCACGCUCUUCCUUUUGAGUGCUAGUCAUUUACUUUUGUUGCUUUACACUGUUAUGCAUCCUUUCCUUGUAAAUAAUUUAGAGCUUGUGAUGUUUCUUUAUCCUUUCUCAAUAGGAAGGACUAAGGAGAAGCAGAGUCAUUAAUCUUGGACUUUAUUCAUUUCCAUCAAUUAUAGCUUUUAUCUUCUUUUUGUCUUCUUUCUUUUUGGUCAUAACAUGCUUAUAUCAUGCGAGAAAAUUUGAACGUAUAGAAUAAGAGGAUAUGAUGAAUGGAACAUCUUCACGAAAAGUUUGGUGGAAUUUUUUAAUACAGUGAUUAGUGUUGUCUUUUGAUCAAUUUACGGUCACCUCUCAGGUAUAGUAUCAGCCUUUUGGACUAAAAGUUGGUUCAUCACGAUAAAGCUUGGGAGACAAAUGUGACGUGUUUGGAAAAAAUCAAAAGAAAAAAGUGGUCUGAUUUGUCCAAAGCUGCUGAAAAGCAAAUAAUGUCCCUCUAAAAGGAAAAGCACAUAAUAUUCCCAGGCUUCGAUCUCAUACUAAAACACUUUUUUUUCUUUUUCUCCACCCCUUUUCACGGAUAAACAGUGACUUCCUAUUUUACCCCUGAUGACUCAAACCCCCAGUGAAAGCUCCCCUUCAUUUCAAGCGUGCCAUGCACUCUCCCCAAGAUAAUCAAGUGCAUAAAUGGUUAUGUCUUAAUUCUGAAUUAAUUGGAUUGGAGCUAUAUGUUUCUAUAUUUGUUCUGCUCAAUUCAUGUUCAAUGUCAUAGUUUAACUUACUUUACAAUGAUCAUAAUAAGCCUAUUAGUAGGUUAUUAUGCUA